rnacentral:rRNA from 1 species
CGGUGGAGCAUGUGGUUUAAUUCGAUGAUACGCGAGGAACCUUACCUGGGCUAGAAUGUGAGGGAAGGUAUCAGAGAUGUCCUUCCCAACAAGGUGUGACGAGCGCAACCCCUGUGAGUAGUUGCCAGCGGGACGUCAAGUAUCAUGGCCCUUACGCCCAGGCUACAUACAUGGCGCCUACACGGGUCGCUACUUCGCAAGAAGAUGCCUCUCUGUAAAGGGUGUCUCAGUUCGGAUCGGGGUGCAACUCGGCCCCGUGAAGCCGGAAUCGCUAGUAAUCGGCAUCAGCAAUGGCGCGGUGAAUACGCUCCCGGACCUUGUACACACCGCCGUCAAGCCAUGGAAGUCGGGGAGACCUGAAGCCGGUGUCAAGAGCCGGUCAGGUAAAACCGGUAACUGGGGCUAAGUCGUACAAGGU